UCGGGAACUGUGAGACAGGCCUGGAUGGUAAGUCGUCAGCUCGUGUGUGAAAUGUUAGGGUUAAGUCCCGCAACGAGCGCGAACCUUUAUCCUUUGUUGCCAGCGUGUUCAGGNCGGGAACUCAAAGGAGACAUGCCAGUGAUAAACUGGAGGANGGUGGGGAUGACGUCAAGUCAUCAUGGCCCGUUGACGACCAGGGCUACACACGUGCUACAAUGGCAUAUACAAAGAGAAGCGACCUCGCGAGAGCAAGCGGACCUCAUAAAGUAUGUNGUAGUCCGGAUAAGGAGGUGCUGCAACUCGACGUCCAUGAAGUCGGAAGUCGCAUGAGUAAUCGUNAGGAUCAGAAUGCUACGG
rnacentral:rRNA from 1 species